rnacentral:rRNA from 1 species
GGCGAACGCUGGCGGCAGGCCUAACACAUGCAAGUCGAACGAACCUUUCGGGGUUAGUGGCGGACGGGUGAGUAACACGUGGGAACGUGCCUUUAGGUUCGGAAUAACUCAGGGAAACUUGUGCUAAUACCGAAUGUGCCCUUCGGGGGAAAGAUUUAUCGCCUUUAGAGCGGCCCGCGUCUGAUUAGCUAGUUGGUUGAGGUAAUGGCUCACCAAGGCGACGAUCAGUAGCUGGUCUGAGAGGAUGAUCAGCCACAUUGGGACUGAGACACGGCCCAAACUCCUACGGGAGGAAGCAGUGGGGAAUCUUGCGGAAUGGGCGAAAGACUGACGCAGCAAUGCCGCGUGAAUGAUGAAGGUCUUAGGAUUGUAAAAUUCUUUCAACGGGGACGAUAAUGACGGUACCCGGAGAAGAAGCCCCGGCUAAAUUCGUG